rnacentral:rRNA from 1 species
UACAGAGGUCCCAAGCGUUGUUCGGAUUCACUGGGCGUAGAGGGUGCGUAGGCGGUCGGGUAAGUCUGAUGUGAAAUCUCACAGCUUAACUGUGAAACUGCAUUGGAUACUAUCCGGCUCGAGGAAUGGAGGGGAGACUGGAAUACUUGGUGUAGCAGUGAAAUGCGUAGAUAUCAAGUGGAACACCAGUGGCGAAGGCGAGUCUCUGGACAUUUCCUGACGCUGAGGCACGAAAGCCAGGGGAGCAAACGGG